GCCCGGUUGGUUAAGUGUCUGACUCUUGAUUUCAGCUCAGGUCGUGAUCUCACAGUUUAUGGGUUCAAGCCCCAUGUCGGGCU
rnacentral:tRNA from 1 species